UGCAUAUCAAUAAGCKGAGGAAAAGAAACCAACAGGGAUUGCCCCAGUAACGGCGAGUGAAGCGGCAACAGCUCAAAUUUGAAAUCUGGCCCCUCCGGGUCCGAGUUGUAAUUUGUAGAGGAUGCUUUUGGUGAGGUGCCGCCCGAGUUCCCUGGAACGGGACGCCACAGAGGGUGAGAGCCCCGUCUGGCUGGCCACCGAGCCUCUGUAAAGCUCCUUCGACGAGUCGAGUAGUUUGGGAAUGCUGCUCAAAAUGGGAGGUAUAUGUCUUCUAAAGCUAAAUAUUGGCCAGAGACCGAUAGCGCACAAGUAGAGUGAUCGAAAGAUGAAAAGCACCUUGAAAAGAGGGUUAAACAGUACGUGAAAUUGUUGAAAGGGAAGCGCUUGUGACCAGACUUGGGCGCGGCGGAUCAUCCGGGGUUCUCUCCGGUGCACUUCGCCGCGUUCAGGCCAGCAUCAGUUCGUCGCGGGGGAAAAAGGCUUCGGGAACGUGGCUCCUCCGGGAGUGUUAUAGCCCGUUGCAUAAUACCCUGCGGUGGACUGAGGACCGCGCAUCUGCAAGGAUGCUGGCGUAAUGGUCACCAGCGACCCGUCUUGAACACGGGACCAAGGAGUCGUCUUCGUAUGCGAGUGUUCGGGUGUCAAACCCCUACGCGUAAUGAAAGUGAACGCAGGUGAGAGCUUCGGCGCAUCAUCGACCGAUCCUGAUGUUCUCGGAUGGAUUUGAGUAAGAGCAUACGGGGCCGGACCCGAAAGAAGGUGAACUAUGCCUGUAUAGGGUGAAGCCAGAGGAAACUCUGGUGGAGGCUCGCAGCGGUUCUGACGUGCAAAUCGAUCGUCAAAUAUGGGCAUGGGGGCGAAAGACUAAUCGAACCUUCUAGUAGCUGGUUUCCGCCGAAGUUUCCCUCAGGAUAGCAGUGUUGAGCUCAGUUUUAUGAGGUAAAGCGAAUGAUUAGGGACUCGGGGGCGCUAUAUUGCCUUCAUCCAUUCUCAAACUUUAAAUAUGUAAGAAGCCCUUGUUACUUAGUUGAACGUGGGCAUUCGAAUGUAUCAACACUAGUGGGCCAUUUUUGGUAAGCAGAACUGGCGAUGCGGGAUGAACCGAACGCGAGGUUAAGGUGCCAGAGUAGACGCUCAUCAGACACCACAAAAGGCGUUAGUACAUCUUGACAGRAGGACGGUGGCCAUGGAAGUCGGAAUCCGCUAAGGACUGUGUAACAACUCACCU
rnacentral:rRNA from 1 species